rnacentral:lncRNA from 10 species
GCGGCAGGGGUGGAGUCGCGAGGAGGCGCGAGGUCGUGCCUAGGAGCUGUGCAACGCCAGCCCUUGAGGAGGAAGCCAUCUGUUUCUGGAAUCACCCUCCCCGCCACGUAUAUGAGACAUAUCCUUGAUUGUCCGUGAAAUCAGGUGGUCCAGGGCCAGGUUGGUCCAUAGAGGUAGGUGUAAGACAUCCUCUGCUCCUGCCCAAGGGUCUCCUCGUAUCUGGAAGCUCUUUCUGCUGCUUGGUUUGGUACCUAUCAUGGGAGUUUUCGUGAUCCUUGCACACCACCAUCCCUCUCUGGAGUCUCACUGCCCUCCCAGGGACCCUGAGCAAGACGCAGGGCUGUCUCGGAUUUACAGAGGUCUGUCCUAUCCCCAUCUUUUCCCUUCCCUUCCCUUCCCUUCCCUUCCCUUCCCUUCCCUUCCC